GGCUCAAGAGUGUGAUCGGUAAGCACGACAGAACGGACAUUUGUAGAUGUGGGUUCGAGUCCCACCUGAGAUU
rnacentral:tRNA from 1 species